GACGAACGCUGGCGGCGUGCCUAAUACAUGCAAGUAGAAGCUAGUUGCGAACGGGUGAGUAACGCGUAGGAACCUGCCUCAUAGCGGGGGAUAACUAUUUGAAACGAUAGCUAAUACCGCAUACUGUGAGAUGGACCUGCGUUGUAUUAGCUAGUUGGUGGGGUAACGGCUCACCAAGGCGACGAUCCGUAGCGGGUUUGAGAGGACGACCAGCCACACUGGGACUGAGACACGGCCCAGACUCCUACGGGAGGCAGCAGUGGGGAAUUUUGGACAAUGGGGGAAAGCCUGAUCCAGCCAUCCCGCGUGUGAGAUGAAGGCCUUCGGGUUGUAAAGCACUUUUGGCAGGAAAGCGGUACCUGCAGAAUAAGCACCGGCUAACUACGUGCCAGCAGCCGCGGUAAUAC
rnacentral:rRNA from 1 species